GAUGAACGCUAGCGACAGGCUUAACACAUGCAAGUCGAGGGGCAGCGUGCGGAAGUGGCAACACUUCCGUGACGGCGACCGGCGCACUGGUGAGUAACACGUAUGCAACCUGCCCCCGACUGGGGAAUAAUCGCGGGAAACCGCGUCUAAUGCCCCAUAGUUCCCCGGGCCCGCAUGGGCCCGGGGGGAAAGGUUUGUUCCGGUCGGGGAUGGGCAUGCGGCGCAUUUAGGGUAGUUGGGCGGGGGCGAACGGCCCACCAAGCCGACGAUGCGUAGGGGUUCUGAGAGGAAGGUCCCCCACAUUGGUACUGAGACACGGCCCAAACUCCUACGGGAGGCAGCAGUGGGGAAUAUUGCACAAUGGGCGAAAGCCUGAUGCAGCGACGCCGCGUGAGCGAAGAAGUAUUCGGUAUGUAAAGCUCUAUCAGCAAAAAAAAGGGNGAAAGAA
rnacentral:rRNA from 1 species